AGAUCAACCUGCGGAAGGAUCAU
rnacentral:rRNA from 1 species